rnacentral:rRNA from 1 species
GGCCUAACACAUGCAAGUCGAGCGGAUGACAGGAGCUUGCUCCUGAAUUCAGCGGCGGACGGGUGAGUAAUGCCUAGGAAUCUGCCUGGUAGUGGGGGACAACGUUUCGAAAGGAACGCUAAUACCGCAUACGUCCUACGGGAGAAAGCAGGGGACCUUCGGGCCUUGCGCUAUCAGAUGAGCCUAGGUCGGAUUAGCUAGUUGGUGAGGUAAUGGCUCACCAAGGCGACGAUCCGUAACUGGUCUGAGAGGAUGAUCAGUCACACUGGAACUGAGACACGGUCCAG